UUUCUGAUGUCUUUAACAGUUGUUUUAUGUGUGUUUUUCAGGAUUACAUUUCUGUGCGGAAGGAUUAAAAAACUACACCAGACUGGUGGCCAUGACAGAUGUCAGUGGGAAAUUUAAACAUGGACUAGAUACUUUGAUGUGUAGCAAAAAAGUUCAUCGUUGAUGGUGGUGUUUUUCUGUGAUAUAUUGACUGGGAUAGUAUUACUCUUCAGAAAUACAGAGCUGUCAAUUCUGCAAUUUUGUUGUGAAAUUCACAAUCCAUGUCCAAAUGUGCUUGUUUUACUAUACAGCAAAGAAGGAGAAAUUAUACCGGGCCGACACCUAUAUGGCAAAUUCAGAAAGUGGAAUAUCUCAGCAACCAUAGGGUUUACAGUCAUGAAACUUCACACACUAGUAGCUGAUAACAAUACAAAUCAGUGGCUAAAAGGAUAUUUCCAAGGCGAUGAAUUCCAUAUGUCAGAAGGAAAUUUAGAAACUUACAACCAGUCAGCAGCUACCCAUAAACCAGACCAACCUAUUAAGUCGAGCGGGCAGAAGCUGUGAUUCCCAGUGUAACACCGCAGAAUGACAGCUAGUUUUCGGAUUACAUUUCUGUGCGGAAGGAUUAAAAAACUACACCAGACUGGUGGCCAUGACAGAUGUCAGUGGGAAAUUUAAACAUGGACUAGAUACUUUGAUGUGUAGCAAAAAAGUUCAUCGUUGAUGGUGGUGUUUUUCUGUGAUAUAUUGACUGGGAUAGUAUUACUCUUCAGAAAUACAGAGCUGUCAAUGCUGCAAUUUUGUUGUGAAAUUCACAAUCCAUGUCCAAAUGUGCUUGUUUUACUAUACAGCAAAGAAGGAGAAAUUAUACCGGGCCGACACCAUACGGGAAAUAUACGGAGUUGUAUACC